rnacentral:rRNA from 1 species
AUUGAACGUUGGCGGCAUGCCUUACACAUGCAAGUCGAACGGCAGCAUGAUCUAGCUUGCUAGAUUGAUGGCGAGUGGCGAACGGGUGAGUAAUACAUCGGAACGUGCCCUGUAGCGGGGGAUAACUAGUCGAAAGAUUAGCUAAUACCGCAUACGACCUGAGGGUGAAAGUGGGGGACCGCAAGGCCUCAUGCUAUAGGAGCGGCCGAUGUCUGAUUAGCUAGUUGGUGGGGUAAAGGCCCACCAAGGCGACGAUCAGUAGCUGGUCUGAGAGGACGAUCAGCCACACUGGGACUGGGACACGGCCCAGACUCCGACGGGAGGCAGCAGUGGGGAAUUUUGGACAAUGGGGGCAACCCUGAUCCAGCAAUGCCGCGUGUGUGAAGAAGGCCUUCGGGUUGUAAAGCACUUUUGUCCGGAAAGAAAUCGCACUUACUAAUAUUAGGUGUGGAUGACGGUACCGGAAGAAUAAGGACCGGCUAACUACGUGCCAGCAGCCGCCGUAA